UCGGACGGGUGAGUAACGCGUGGGUAACCGUGCCUCAUACAGGGGAAUAGCAGCUGGAAACGGCUGAUAAAACCGCAUAAGCGCACAGUGCCGCAUGGCACAGUGUGAAAAACUCCGGUGGUAUGAGAUGGACCCGCGUCUGAUUAGCUUGUUGGCGGGGUAACGGCCCACCAAGACUACGAUGGAUAGGGGUUCUGAGAGGAAGGUCCCCCACAUUGGAACUGGGACACGGUCCAA
rnacentral:rRNA from 1 species